rnacentral:lncRNA from 1 species
AAUGAUACCAAUUUUUAACUUACUAGCAACUGUCUCUUUCAGUUGGUUAUCAGCACAUGUUAUGAUGAAUUCAGGGAGUUGGUCAACAAAUGUAUCCAUGAAAAAACCAGGAAAAGAAAUUUUGACUGCUUCUUGCUGCUUGUUACUGUGAAAGAUAAUCGACUGCUUCCUGAUUCUUAGGAAAAGGAAACAAAAGUUCACUCCCUCAA